rnacentral:rRNA from 1 species
AACGAACGCUGGCGGCAUGCCUAACACAUGCAAGUCGAACGAGACCUUCGGGUCUAGUGGCGCACGGGUGCGUAACGCGUGGGAACCUGCCCUUAGGUUCGGAAUAACUCCCCGAAAGGGGUGCUAAUACCGGCUAAUGUCUUCGGACCAAGGAUUUAUCGCCUUUGGAUGGGCCCGCGUUGGAUUAGCUAGUUGGUAGGGUAAAAGCCUACCAAGGCGACGAUCCAUAGCUGGUCUGAGAGGAUGAUCCGCCACACUGGGACUGAGACACGGCCCAGACUACUACGGGAGGCAGCAGUGGGGAAGAUUGGACAAGGGGCGAAGGCCGGAUCCAGCAAUGCCGCGUGGGUGAUGAAGGCCUUAGGGUUGUAAAGCUCUUUUACCCGGGAUGAUAAUGACAGUACCGGGAGAAUAAGCGCCGGCCAACUCCGUG